GACGAACGCUGGCGGCGUGCCUAAUACAUGCAAGUUGAGCGCUGAAGGUUGGUACUUGUACCAACUGGAUGAGCAGCGAACGGGUGAGUAACGCGUGGGGAAUCUGCCUUUGAGCGGGGGACAACAUUUGGAAACGAAUGCUAAUACCGCAUAAAAACUUUAAACACAAGUUUUAAGUUUGAAAGAUGCAAUUGCAUCACUCAAAGAUGAUCCCGCGUUGUAUUAGCUAGUUGGUGAGGUAAAGGCUCACCAAGGCGAUGAUACAUAGCCGACCUGAGAGGGUGAUCGGCCAAAUUGGGACUGAGACAAGGCCCAAACUCCUACGGGAGGCAGCAGUAGGGAAUCUUCGGCAAUGGAAGAAAGUCUGACCGAGCAACGCCGCGUGAGUGAAGAAGGUUUUCGGAUCGUAAAACUCUGUUGGUAGAGAAGAACGUUGGUGAGAGUGGAAAGCUCAUCAAGUGACGGUAACUACACAGAAAGGGACGGCUAACUACGUG
rnacentral:rRNA from 1 species